AUUGAACGCUGGCGGCAGGCCUAACACAUGCAAGUCGAGCGAGCGGCGGACGGGUGAGUAAUGUCUGUGAAACUGCCUGAUGGAGGGGGAUAACUACUGGAAACGGUAGCUAAUAACGCAUACCAUCAGAUGUGCCCAGAUGGGAUUAGCUAGUAGGUGGGGUAAUGGCUCACCUAGGCGACGAUCCCUCGCUGGUCGGAGAGGAUGAACAGCCACGCUGGAACUGAGACACGGUCCAGACGCCUACGGGGGGCAGAAGUGGGGAAUAUUGCACAAUGGGCGCAAGCCUGAUGCAGCCAUGCCGCGUGUGUGAAGAAGGCCUUCGUGUUGUAAUGCACUUGCAGCGGGGAGGCGUUACCCGCAGAAGAAGCACCGGCUAACUCCGUGCCAGAAGCCGCGGUAAUAC
rnacentral:rRNA from 1 species